rnacentral:snoRNA from 1 species
AUGUCAAUUUUUGGACACUUCUUAAAUGUGCUCUUGAACCUCUCUCAUGCCUCGGAAUACGUCUCAAUAUCCUUUUGUUUGAAAGUAUAAACUUUAUUCUGAAUUU